rnacentral:rRNA from 1 species
AAUCAACGCUGGCGGCGUGCCUCAGACAUGCAAGUCGAACGAUUAAAGCUCUCUUCGGAGAGUGCAUAGAGUGGCGCACGGGUGAGUAACACGUAAGUAAUCUACCUUCGAGUGGGGAAUAACGUCCGGAAACGGACGCUAAUACCGCAUAAUGCAGCGGCAUCGCAAGAUGACAGUUGUUAAAGAUUUAUCGCUUGAAGAGGAGCUUGCGGCAGAUUAGCUAGUUGGUAAGGUAAUGGCUUACCAAGGCUACGAUCUGUAACCGGUCUUAGAGGACGGUCGGUCACACUGACACUGAAUAACGGGUCAGACUCCUAUGGGAGGCAGCAGUCGGGAAUUUUGGGCAAUGGGCGAAAGCCUGACCCAGCAACGCCGCGUGAAGGAUGAAGUAUUUCGGUAUGUAAACUUCGAAAGAAUGGGAAGAAUAAAUGACGGUACCAUUUAUAAGGUCCGGCUAACUACGUGCCAGCCGCCGCGGUAAUAC